GUAAAGGGUGGUAUUAUGGAUGGGAGUUUUGGUGGUUGUAGUGGUUCAGUCUGGUGAAUGUGAAAUGGUAAUCGUCUAUAGUUGGUGUGGAUGCAGAUUGUCUUAGUGUUGUUGCUGAGAUGAGUUUGGUUGUGUAUGGUGACGGGUUGACGAGUACAUGGUCUGAGAUGUGUAUGAAUUUUGUAGAAGUGAUUUCAGGGGGGAUUGAAUAAUUAUCCGGGGCAUGUUGUGUAGUCACAAUGAAGAUGAUGUUUUUACAUUGUAAAAAGAACUGAGUUACACGGAUUGUAGAGGUUUGAAUAUGCAGGCAGUGUAAGUACUGAGAUGAACUUAGAAUGAUUUAUGAGUUGAGGGAAAUUAAGUUAAGGAUGGUGGUGUUGUCUGUGUAACUGCUAUUGCUGAACUGAAAUAGUGAUGUUGGACUGAGUUGAGAUAGAGGUGCAGAUGGUUUAAAUGUUGAAUUGAAUGAGUUUAGGUUCAGAUGAAUACAUAGUUUAUUGCAGAGAGAAUGAAUAUUGCAGAUUUGUUGAUGUUGUGUUAUUAUAGUUGGAAUUUAAAUGACCAAUUCAGUGGUGAGUUUAUGGAUUAUGUGUGUGUAUGUGCUGGUGUUUUGAAAUGGCAGUGCCGGGGUAGACUUGAUGUUGGGGGAUUUGAACUAUAGGGAGAUGUUAAUGUUGGUGAUAGUCGCAGAUAAGAGAUGGUAAUAUCAUCAGUUGGUAGUGAUGAAAAGAUUCAUACUAUGUUAGUAGUUUGAGAAUGAAAUUAGAUGAUGUAGGACAAGUACAAUGGUGUUAUGCGUUGUAGAUGCAGAGGGUGGUAGUUUUAGUGGAAUCUUGUUGUUGCAGGGGAGAUGCAAGUGCAGAACAUGGAUAUUGGAGUUAGACUUGAGAUGAGAUGGGUAGUGAGUCAACUGGUGUAAGAAAAAUGAGAUAGUAAAGAUGUAGAUAAUGGUAAUUGUAUGAUUGUAGAUGGCAGCUUCAGUGAAGGCUUGCAUCUGAUGUUGCAAUUAGACUCUAUUAACAACGAUCGAUUCAAAGG